AUGGGUAUCAUCGGCAUCCGCACGGCCAUCCUGUUCCUCGCUGCGCUCGCGUGGUGUAGUGUGCUCGCCGCGGCCGCCGCCGGCGAGGUGGACGGCGUGUUCAACGUCAAGGACUACGGUGCUCGAGGCGACGGGGUCACCGACGACACCAAGGCGUUCGUGCACGCAUGGACCGCGGCGUGCGGCGCCAGGGGCUCGUCGGCGUCGACGCUGCUCGUGCCGGCGGCCAAGUCCUUCCUCGUCGGCCCCACCAGGUUCAACGGGCCCUGCGCCUCCACCAGAAUUACCGUCCAGGUCAUGGGCACGAUUACGGCGCCGCCGGCGGGCGCAUGGAGCGGGAAGAACUAUUGGCUGAUGUUCUACAAGGUCCACGGGCUCACGGUUACCGGCGGCAGCACCGGCUUGCUCGACGGCAGAGGCUGGACGUGGUGGCGCAACAAAUGCAAAGGCUAUGCUGACUGUGUAACCAAGGCACCGACGGCGUUGGUGGUCAUGAGCUGCGCCGACGUGGAGCUGCGCCAAUUCAGAAGCAAGGACAGCCCGCAGAUGCACAUCGCCGUCAGCCAGAGCAGCAAGGUCCACCUGACGCAGCUGACCAUCACCGCGCCCGGGGAUAGCCCCAACACCGACGGCGUGCACAUCUCCCAAAGUGAAAACGUCCACGUCAGCAGAUCGACCAUCGGCACCGGCGACGACUGCGUCUCCAUCAGCUCCAGGAGCCGAUUCGUCACCGUCGACGGAAUCGUGUGCGGCCCCGGCCAUGGCGUAAGUGUGGGGAGCCUGGGCAGGAAUGGAGCGACCGCAUCCGUGGAGUACAUCGACGUGAAAAACGUCCACUUCAUCAACACUACAAAUGGGGCAAGGAUCAAGACGUGGCAGGGUGGGAAAGGUUACGCGAAAUCCAUCUCCUUCACCGACAUAAAGUUCACCAACGUGGACCAUCCUGUGGUCAUCAACCAAUUCUACGUAGACCACCACCAUGUCCCAAAUAUGGGGGCGGUGGCGUUGAGCAACAUAACGUACAAGAACCUGAGGGGGACAUCGAAGCACAAGACGGCCGUGGACUUCAACUGCGGCGAGAGCGGCAGCUGCACGAAUAUCCACGUCAACUCUGUGGCGAUCACCGCUGCGGACGGCGGAAGAACCGUGUCCCGCUGCCAGAACGCGCAAGGGGACACCUCCGGAUACGUCUACCCCAAGAUCCCUUGCCUUAAAUAA
rnacentral:rRNA from 1 species